UGCAACGGCCGGGAAUCGAACCUUGGCGAGCAUUCUCGCCAUUGAACUACCGAUGC
rnacentral:tRNA from 1 species